AUUGGAAACAGAUGCUAAUACCGCAUAACAACAAAAGCCACAUGGCUUUUGUUGAAAGAUGGCUUUGGCUAUCACUCUGGGAUGGACCUGCGGUGCAUUAGCUAGUUGGUAAGCAACGGCUUACCAAGGCGAUGAUGCAUAGCCGAGUUGAGAGACUGAUCGGCCACAAUGGAACUGAGACACGGUCCAUACUCCUACGGGAGGCAGCAGUAGGGAAUCUUCCACAAUGGGCGCAAGCCUGAUGGAGCAACACCGCGUGAGUGAAGAAGGGUUUCGGCUCGUAAAGCUCUGUUGUUGGAGAAGAACGUGCGUGAGAGUAACUGUUCACGCAGUGACGGUAUCCAACCAGAAAGUCACGGCUAACUACGUG
rnacentral:rRNA from 1 species